rnacentral:tRNA from 1 species
GUGUGGCUGGCUCAGCUGGAAGAGCAUAUGACUCUUGAUCUUGAGGUUGUGGGUUUGAGCCUCACAUUACGUA